rnacentral:rRNA from 1 species
UGCGAAUGGCUCAUUAAAUCAGUUAUCGUUUAUUUGAUAGUACCUUUACUACUAGGUCAUAACCGUGGUAAUUCUAGAGCUAAUACUUGCUAACAAUCCCGACUUCUGGAAGGGAUGUAUUUAUUAGAUAAAAAAUCAAUGCCUUCGGGCUCUUUGAUGAUUCAUAAUAACUUUUCGAAUCGCAUGGCUUUUUGCCGGCGAUGGUUCAUUCAAAUUUCUGCCCUAUCAACUUUCGAUGGUAGGAUAGUGGCCUACCAUGGUUUCAACGGGUAACGGGGAAUAAGGGUUCGAUUCCGGAGAGGGAGCCUGAGAAACGGCUACCACAUCCAAGGAAGGCAGCAGGCGCGCAAAUUACCCAAUCCUAAUUCAGGGAGGUAGUGACAAUAAAUAACGAUACAGGGCCCAUACGGGUCUUGUAAUUGGAAUGAGUACAAUUUAAAUACCUUAACGAGGAACAAUUGGAGGGCAAGUCUGGUGCCAGCAGCCGCGGUAAUUCCAGCUCCAAUAGCGUAUAUUAAAGUUGUUGCAGUUAAAAAGCUCGUAGUUGAACCUUGGGCUUGGUUGGCCGGUCCGCCUUACGGUGAGUACUGGACCCAACCGAGCCUUUCCUUCUGGGAAACCUUCUGCCCUUUUUGGGUGGUUGGGGAACCAGGACUUUUACUUUGAAAAAAUUAGAGUGUUCAAAGCAGGCCUUUGCUCGAUAUAUAGCAUGGAUAUAGAAUAGGACGUUAUGGUUCUAUUUUGUUGGUUUCUAGGACCAUCGUAAUGAUUAAUAGGGACGGUCGGGGGCAUCAGUAUUCAAUUGUCAGAGGUGAAAUUCUUGGAUUUAUUGAAGACUAACUACUGCGAAAGCAUUUGCCAAGGACGUUUUCAUUAAUCAAGAACGAAAGUUAGGGGAUCGAAGAUGAUCAGAUACCGUCGUAGUCUUAACCAUAAACUAUGCCGACUAGGGAUCGGGUGU